AUUGAACGCUGGCGGCAUGCUUUACACAUGCAAGUCGAACGGUAACAGGCCGCAAGGUGCUGACGAGUGGCGAACGGGUGAGUAAUGCAUCGGAACGUGCCCAGUUGUGGGGGAUAACGCAGCGAAAGCCGUGCUAAUACCGCAUACGAUCUAUGGAUGAAAGCGGGGGAUCGUAAGGCCUCGCGCGAUUUGAGCGGCCGAUGUCAGAUUAGGUAGUUGGUGGGGUAAAGGCCUGCCAAGCCGACGAUCUGUAGCUGGUCUGAGAGGACGACCAGCCACACUGGGACUGAGACACGGCCCAGACUCCUACGGGAGGCAGCAGUGGGGAAUUUUGGACAAUGGGCGCAAGCCUGAUCCAGCAAUGCCGCGUGCAGGAAGAAGGCCUUCGGGUUGUAAACUGCUUUUGUACGGAACGAAACGGUCUGGGUUAAUACCCUGGGCUAAUGACGGUACCGUAAGAAUAAGCACCGGCUAACUACGUGCCAGCCGCCGCGGUAACAC
rnacentral:rRNA from 1 species